CAGGCUUACGCCUUGAAUAUAGUAGCAUGGAAUAAUAAGAUAGGACCUGGGUCCUAUUUUGUUGGUUUGCGCACCGACGUAAUGAUUAAUAGGGACAGUUGGGGAUAUUCGUAUUUCGUUGUCAGAGGUGAAAUUCUUGGAUUUACGAAAGACGAACUACUGCGAAAGCAUUUAUCAAGGAUGUUUUCAUUAAUCAAGAACGAAAGUUGGGGGCUCGAAGACGAUCAGAUACCGUCCUAGUCUCAACCAUAAACGAUGCCGACCAGGGAUCGGCGGAUUUUGCUUUU
rnacentral:rRNA from 14 species